AAACUUAAGAGAGUUGAAACGUUUUUAACCUUACUGGACAAAAACAAUCGGUUGUAAGCAAUAGACAAUCGAUUAUCUUUGGCUUAAAAAAAAUUUUCAUUUACUGGACCAAUAUAAUCGAUUGUCAAAACCAGACAAUUGAUUAUUUUGGUUUUGAGAAAAUUUUUUUAAGUUUCUGGACCAACAUAAUCGAUUGUCAAAACCAUAUAAUCGAUUAUGCUGGUUUUAAGAAAAUUUUAUAAGUUACUGGACCAAUAUAAUCGAUUGUCAAAACCAGACAAUCGAUUAUUUUGGUUUUGAUAAAAAAAAUUUUAAGUUUCUGGACC
rnacentral:lncRNA from 1 species